UACAGAGGGUGCAAGCGUUAAUCGGAAUUACUGGGCGUAAAGCGUGCGUAGACGGUUACAUAAGUCGGGUGUGAAAGCCCCGGGCUCAACCUGGGAAUUGCAUUCGAGACUGCGUAGCUAGGGUGCGGAAGAGGGAAGCGGAAUUUCCGGUGUAGCGGUGAAAUGACGUAGAUAUCGGAAGGAACACCAGUGGCGAAAGCGGCUUCCUGGUCCAGCACCGACGUUCAGGCACGAAAGCGUGGGGAGCAAACAGG
rnacentral:rRNA from 1 species